UACAGAGGUCUCAAGCGUUGUUCGGAAUCACUGGGCGUAAAGGGUGCGUAGGUGGCGUGGUAAGUCAGAUGUGAAAGCCCGGGGCUCAACCUCGGAAUUGCAUCCGAUACUGCCGUGCUAGAGUACUGAAGAGGUGACUAGAAUUCUCGGUGUAGCAGUGAAAUGCGUAGAUAUCGAGAGGAAUACCAACGGCGAAGGCAGGUCACUGGGCAGUUACUGACACUGAGGCACGAAGGCCAGGGGAGCAAAUGGG
rnacentral:rRNA from 1 species